rnacentral:rRNA from 1 species
GAACCAAGAAAAAUCACCAACAGCUACUCAGAGUUUCUUUUAAUCAGAAGCUUUGGUAGAGUCUUCAAAGGAACCCUUCCUGACAACACCGCAGUGGCAGUUAUGUCCUCUGUCAAGGUAACUGAAGCUUUAAAGGAGCAGUUUAUCGAGCAAGUGGAUGUUCCAAUGUUGGUGUAUGAGUUUGCUGGCAAAGGAAGUCUUCAAGACAUCCUUCAUGGCAACAGCAGAAACCAAAAGCUCCCCUUAGACUUGCGUCUGGAUAUUGCAAUUGGAACUGCACAAGGCUUAACAUAUAUGCACUCCUAUGGAAAUCAAGCCAUACGGCACGGUGAUGUCAAACCGGACAACAUACUUCUGGAUGACAAGUUCGUACCAAAAAUCUUGGAUUUCGGGUUAUGGAAGCUGCUUAGAGAGGAAUAUUAUUUCAGCAAGAUUGUAGCCGGGGACAUGGCUUACGUUGACCCAACGUUCCUUAAAACCGGGCAACUGACAGAAAAAAGCGACGUCUACAGCUUUGGGGCGGUUCUCUUAGAACUCAUUACCAGGAAGCGAAGUGUAUACGACGAAUACUGUAGCCUCAUUUUGGAGUUCCGUAAAGUUUGUGAGAAAGAAAAGAGCGGUAGCGCAAUGUUGGACAAGGAGAUCGCAGCUGAAGAAGAAGAUAUCUAUUGCCUGGAAGGAAUUGGCAAGCUGGCAAUUGAGUGCCUAAAAGAAGAUGUAGAAGAUCGGCCCGAAAUGGCGGCGGUAGUUGAGCGACUUGUAAUGCUUAAAAAGGAUAGGAUGCUUAAGAGUUAG